GCCCUAUGGCUGCCCUAUGGGGUCCCCCAUGCUAUGCCCUAUGGCUGCCCUAUGUCUGACCUAUGGGGUCCCCCUGUGGGUUCCCCUAUGUGUGCCCUAUGUGUUGCCCUAUGGCUGCCCUAUGUGUGCCCUAUGGCUGCCCCAUAGCUGCCAUUGCCCCGCAGGUGUCAGCAGUGCGUGAGGAGGUUCCUAUUGGCUGCCCUAUAGCUGCCCUAUGGGGUCCCCCAUGCUGUGCCCUAUGUGUGCCCUAUGUGUGCCCUAUGGCUGCCCUAUGGGGUCCCCCAUGCUGUGCCCUAUGGCUGCCCUAUGUGGUCCCCUAUGGCUGCCCUAUGGCUGCCCUAUGGGGUCCCCCAUGCUGUGCCCUAUGGGGUGCCCUAUUGGCUGCCCUAUGGCUGCCCUAUGUGUUGCCCUAUGUGUUCCCCUAUGUGUUGCCCUAUGACUGUCCUAUGGCUGCCCUAUGGGGUCCCCCAUGCAGUACCCUAUGGUGUCCCCCUAUGUGUGCCCUAUGGCUGCCCUAUGUGUUCCCCUAUGGCUGCCCUAUGGGGUCCCCCAUGCAGUACCCUAUGGGGUCCCCCUGUGGGUUGCCCCAUAGCUGCCCCAUAGCCCCAUUGCCCCGCAGGUAUCUGCAGCCCGUGAGGAGGUUCCUAUUGGCUGCC
ensembl:lncRNA